rnacentral:rRNA from 1 species
UACGUAGGGGGCAAGCGUUGUCCGGAAUCAUUGGGCGUAAAGCGCGUGUAGGCGGCCCGGUAAGUCCGCUGUGAAAGUCCAGGGCUCAACCCUGGGAUGCCGGUGGAUACUGUCGGGCUCGAGUCCGGAAGAGGCGAGUCGAAUUCCUGGUGUAGCGGUGAAAUGCGCAGAUAUCAGGAGGAACACCAAUGGCGAAGGCAGCUCGCUGGGACGUGACUGACGCUGAGACGCGAAAGCGUGGGGAGCAAACAGG